UACGAAGGGGGCUAGCGUUGCUCGGAUUGACUGGGCGUAAAGGGUGCGUAGGCGGGUCUUUAAGUCGGGGGUGAAAUCCUGGAGCUCAACUCCAGAACUGCCUUUGAUACUGAAGAUCUUGAGUUCGGGAGAGGUGAGUGGAACUGCGAGUGUAGAGGUGAAAUUCGUAGAUAUUCGCAAGAACACCAGUGGCGAAGGCGGCUCACUGGCCCGAUACUGACGCUGAGGCACGAAAGCGUGGGGAGCAAACAGG
rnacentral:rRNA from 1 species